rnacentral:rRNA from 1 species
GGCCUAACACAUGCAAGUCUAGCGGUAGAGAGGAGCUUGCUUCUCUUGAGAGCGGCGGACGGGUGAGUAAUGCCUAGGAAUCUGCCUAGUGGUGGGGGAUAACGUUCGGAAACGGACGCUAAUACCGCAUACGUCCUACGGGAGAAAGCGGGGGACCUUCGGGCCUCGCGCCAUUAGAUGAGCCUAGGUCGGAUUAGCUAGUUGGUGAGGUAAAGGCUCACCAAGGCGACGAUCCGUAACUGGUCUGAGAGGAUGAUCAGUCACACUGGAACUGAGACACGGUCCAGACUCCUACGGGAGGCAGCAGUGGGGAAUAUUGGACAAUGGGCGAAAGCCUGAUCCAGCCAUGCCGCGUGUGUGAAGAAGGUCUUCGGAUUGUAAAGCACUUUAAGUUGGGAGGAAGGGCAGUAACUUAAUACGUUGCUGCUUUGACGUUACCGACAGAAUAAGCACCGGCUAACUUCGUGCCAGCAGCCGCGGUAAUACGAAGGGUGCAAGCGUUAAUCGGAAUUACUGGGCGUAAAGCGCGCGUAGGUGGUUCAGUAAGUUGGAAGUGAAAUCCCCGGGCUCAACCUGGGAACUGCUUUCAAAACUGCUGAGCUAGAGUACGGUAGAGGGUGGUGGAAUUUCCUGUGUAGCGGUGAAAUGCGUAGAUAUAGGAAGGAACACCAGUGGCGAAGGCGACCACCUGGACUGAUACUGACACUGAGGUGCGAAAGCGCGGGGAGCAAACAGGAUUAGAUACCCUGGUAGUCCACGCCGUAAACGAUGUCAACUAGCCGUUGGGAGUCUUGAACUCUUAGUGGCGCAGCUAACGCAUUAAGUUGACCGCCUGGGGAGUACGGCCGCAAGGUUAAAACUCAAAUGAAUUGACGGGGGCCCGCACAAGCGGUGGAGCAUGUGGUUUAAUUCGAAGCAACGCGAAGAACCUUACCAGGCCUUGACAUGCAGAGAACUUUCCAGAGAUGGAUUGGUGCCUUCGGGAACUCUGACACAGGUGCUGCAUGGCUGUCGUCAGCUCGUGUCGUGAGAUGUUGGGUUAAGUCCCGUAACGAGCGCAACCCUUGUCCUUAGUUACCAGCACGUAAUGGUGGGAACUCUAAGGAGACUGCCGGUGACAAACCGGAGGAAGGUGGGGAUGACGUCAAGUCAUCAUGGCCCUUACGGCCUGGGCUACACACGUGCUACAAUGGUCGGUACAAAGGGUUGCCAAGCCGCGAGGUGGAGCUAAUCCCAUAAAACCGAUCGUAGUCCGGAUCGCAGUCUGCAACUCGACUGCGUGAAGUCGGAAUCGCUAGUAAUCGUGAAUCAGAAUGUCACGGUGAAUACGUUCCCGGGCCUUGUACACAC